AUAAGUAGACUUUAUUUUAUUGUCUGCUCCAGGGAAGUAAAGAGAGCCUGCAAUAAAAACCUCUUGUCAUGGCUGACCAGGAGAUGAAGUCAUAUGAGUUGCUGCUGACUGAGGUGAUCUGUGCUGCAGGCAUACUGGGACUCACCAUGAGAUGCCUCACCAGGCUGCACAGAAACUCCAGCCAUUCCUCAGCUCUGCUGAUGUUUAUGUAACUCUUCCUGCAGGCAGCACAGGACAGGAAGAAAAAAGUCAAAGGGAAUGGGCUUUGACUAGCUGUCAAGAUGUGAACUUUGAAUUUAGCUAACCUGUGCUUUAGUUGUUGCCUCAUCACACCCACAGCAUACUUCUCUCUGAACUUAGCCUUUUUAUGGAUUAACUCUUACCAAACAUACAUUAGCUUCACCUCCUAGCAAUGUGAUUUCUGAACAUAAAAUAAGUAAACGUCAACAGACCUGUCUUCUUGUCUACUCUUUUGCCUUGAGGUUGGAUAAACUAACUAAAUUGCUCUUAGAAGAUAUUUGAUGCAUUUUUAAUAGUACAGCUGCAUAAAGAUUAAAGUUCUGCAACCUUGCUAAACAAUCCAUCCCAGUGCUCAUCUGUUCUGCUCGGAUGUUUUACACAUCUUGAGCUGUGCAGCUAAUAUUUUAUUCAAGAGUAGCUCAUCUUGGGUUGAAACUAUCAAGAGAUGUGAAAGGUGGCAUGAAAUGCUUCUGUAAAAGCAUCAAUGGUAAAAAAGGAAGAAGAAGAAAGCGUGCAGCUUAACAUGGCAAGGGACCUAGAGAUGAAAGACAGAAAGAAGGCCAAGGUACCCAGAAUCUUUUCCCUCAAUUGAAUCUGCACAGACACAGGAUGAGCUCAGGCUGUCAUGUUUCAGGUUCAGUUUUCAAUACUGUUUUCCAUACUAUCAGUAUAGACAAAGUGUGAGAAGUAGGCAGAUAAACUAAGUAGAUAACUCACUGGAUUACUGGACUCAAACUGCUUCCCAGGAAUCAACCUUAAGCCCAAUACAGGUGACUGUUUAUCAAAUGGCUGGUGGCAAAACACAGCAAUAGGGUGCCCAUAGAAAUCAUGGAAUCUCCAUCCUUUGAGGUACUGAAACCCUGACUGCACCUGAGAUUGGGAAGUGUCUCCCAACCUCAACUUCACUACUCUGUUCUACAGUUCUUUACAACUAACG
rnacentral:lncRNA from 1 species